rnacentral:rRNA from 3 species
GACGAACCACCCAAACGUUAUUCGGAAUUACUGGGCUUAAAGAGUGCGUAGGCGGCCUUGUAAGUAGGGUGUGAAAUCCCACAGCUCAACUGUGGAACUGCGCUCUAAACUACAUGGCUAGAGGGAUAUAGAGGUGAGCGGAACUGAUGGUGGAGCGGUGAAAUGCGUUGAUAUCAUCAGGAACACCGGAGGCGAAGGCGGCUCACUGGGUAUCUUCUGACGCUGAGGUACGAAAGCUAGGGGAGCGAACGGG